GCAACUGUGGUUCAGUGGUAGAAUUCUUGCCUUCUAUGCUAGAGAUCUGGGUUCGAUUCCCAGCUAAUGUA
rnacentral:tRNA from 1 species